rnacentral:rRNA from 1 species
AUUGAACGCUGGCGGCAGGCCUAACACAUGCAAGUCGAACGGUAACAGGAAGCAGCUUGCUGCUUUUCUGACGAGUGGCGGACGGGUGAGUCAUGUCUGGGAAACUGCCCGAUGGAGGGGGAUAACUACUGGAAACGGUAGCUAAUACCGCAUAACGUCGCAAGACCAAAGAGGGGGACCUUAGGGCCUCUUGCCAUCGGAUGUGCCCAGAUGGGAUUAGCUAGUAGGUGGGGUAACGGCUCACCUAGGCGACGAUCCCUAGCUGGUCUGAGAGGAUGACCAGCCACACUGGAACUGAGACACGGUCCAGACUCCUAAGGGAGGCAGCAGUGGGGAAUAUUGCACAAUGGGCGCAAGCCUGAUGCAGCCAUGCCGCGUGUAUGAAGAAGGCCUUCGGGUUGUAAAGUACUUUCAGCGGGGAGGAAGGGAGUAAAGUUAAUACCUUUGCUGAUUGACGUUACCCGCAGAAGAAGCACCGGCUAACUCCGUG